rnacentral:rRNA from 1 species
GCAUAUCAAUAAGCGGAGGAAAAGAAACCAACAGGGAUUGCCCUAGUAACGGCGAGUGAAGCGGCAACAGCUCAAAUUUGAAAUCUGGCUCUUUUAGAGUCCGAGUUGUAAUUUGCAGAGGGCGCUUUGGCGUUGGCAGCGGUUCAAGUUCCUUGGAACAGGACGUCACAGAGGGUGAGAAUCCCGUACGUGGUCGCUAGCCUUCGCCGUGUAAAGCCUCUUCGACGAGUCGAGUUGUUUGGGAAUGCAGCUCUAAAUGGGAGGUAAAUUUCUUCUAAAGCUAAAUACUGGCCAGAGACCGAUAGCGCACAAGUAGAGUGAUCGAAAGAUGAAAAGCACUUUGGAAAGAGAGUCAAAUAGCACGUGAAAUUGUUAAAAGGGAAGCGCUUGCAGCCAGACUUGCCCGUAGUUGCUCAUCCAGGCUUUUGCCUGGUGCACUCUUCUAUGGGCAGGCCAGCAUCAGUUUGGGCGGUUGGAUAAAGGUCUCUGUCAUGUACCUCCUUUCGGGGAGGCCUUAUAGGGGAGACGACAUGCAACCAGCCUGGACUGAGGUCCGCGCAUUUAUGCUAGGAUGCUGGCGUAAUGGCUGUAAGCGGCCCGUCUUGAAACACGGACCAAGGAGUCUAACAUCUAUGCGAGUGUUUGGGUGUCAAGCCCGAACGCGCAAUGAAAGUGAACGGAGGUGGGAACCCUUAAGGGUGCACCAUCGACCGAUCCUGAUGUCUUCGGAAGGAUUUGAGUAAGAGCAUAGCUGUUGGGACCCGAAAGAUGGUGAACUAUGCUUGAAUAGGGUGAAGCCAGAGGAAACUCUGGUGGAGGCUCGCAGCGGUUCUGACGUGCAAAUCGAUCGUCAAAUUUGGGCAUAGGGGCGAAAGACUAAUCGAACUAUCUAGUAGCUGGUUCCUGCGA